UCUCAGGUUUCAAGUUUAGUUCUUGAAUUCAGUUCCAGUUUCUAGAUCCUGGACCAGGUUGUGAACAUCCAUCCAUGAUCCAUGUGAAUUCCAGAAUAGUGAUACGGUGGAGACCCUUUAGGAUUUGACGAACAUGUAAAUAUGGAGUGUAACACUAGCUUCGAAAAGGAAGUAUGUAUAUCUCCAAAAUUAAUCAAACAUUGGAAAAAAAAUCAAAUGGGCUUGCGAUACUAAUGCUGCCGUUACUUUGAAUGAACAUUCACCAAAUUUCGAGGCAGAUACCAUAGGAGAGACGAAGAACUACGCAAUCCAAAGUGAUGCAUGAUCAACGGAUACGGAUACGUUGAAUUUUCUAGUAAAUAGGAAUAUUGGGAUUCAAAAGAAGCCUCAUUCAAACUGAUUUCACAAUGCAAUAGAGUUUCUUGGCGCAAUCGAAAAAAAAAGAUACUGGCACCACGGCCAUUCCAGACCGUUCCGUACAUACCGUCAGCACCCGUUGCGAUCGAAUACUGAACUUAGUUUGAAUUGUGUCGCGACUCCAUUCAGAUGCUGUAGAGCUUCGUAACAUUAAAUCCGUGCAGCCAUGAGUGCUUUGCGUAGGGUGCUCAAGUUCUUACUCGGUGCUUUCGCAUUCGUUGGCGAACUACUCGGCGAAGGGAGGAAGGUGAUCUCGAGCAGGGCAAUUCGACCUCAUCAUCGGAUGGCGCUUAUUGGAGAGUGACGGAAAGUUUGAAAGCAUUGCGUGUGAACUUCCUGAGUUGAGCAUGAUACGACGGUCGUUUAAGCAGUUUAAUUAGUCGUGAAUGUAUUUCGUACUUCCGGAGUAAAUUGAGCGAUGGAACAGUGAAUUAAAACAAAAAUAUGCUUGAAAGAAAAACGGCAUUAUAUGAAUUAGUUAUAACAAGAAUAAAAAUGUUCAUCUUUACAAUGUA